UUCACGUGUUUCUGGUGGGAAGCGGUUAUGCGCGGACCGGCUGCUGAUGGUCAGCUGAUGUGUCAGACAGACCGCAGCCCUUAACCAUUAUUUUGUUUACGUUCAUUUGUACCAAAGGAGUUCUAGCAAUUGCAUGCGCGCUCGUAUUAAUACAUACUCAUUAUUCAGACACAUCUAUCUUCAGUAUUUGCCAACAUUGCGUAGAGAGUGACCGAAAAAUGUCUCCAUUGAUCUCAACAGCUGCUGUCAAUCUGUUGACGUUUUCAUCGCUAGUUUGUUUUCUUCUGACAUUAUCAGCACAAACCUCCGAAGCUAAGAAUUCAGAAGACAUCCGCUGUAAAUGUAUCUGUCCACCCUACAAGGACAUAGAUGGACAGAUCUACAAUCAGAACGUUUCCCUGAAGGACUGUAAUUGCCUCCAUGUGGUGGAACCAAUGCCAGUUGAAGGCAAGGACGUGGAGGCGUACUGUUUACGCUGUGAAUGCAAGUAUGAAGAAAGGAGCUCUGGAACUAUUAAAGUCACCAUUAUAAUUUAUCUGUCUAUUCUGGGCCUUUUGCUGUUGUAUAUGGUCUAUCUGACACUGUUGGAGCCUAUGCUGAAGAGAAGACUGUUUGGCCAUUCACAGCUGAUUCAGAGUGAUGAUGAUGUUGGGGACCAGCAGCCCUUUGCCAAUGCCCAUGAUGUGCUCUCUCGCUCUCGCUCUCGUUCCAAUAUGCUUAACAAAGUGGAGCACGCUCAGCAACGCUGGAGGAGGCAGGUCCAAGAACAGCGCAAGUCUGUCUUCGACCGCCAUGUGGUGCUCAGCUAAAAGCUCUCUCAGUCUGAAGUGAACUGUUAUAUAUGGGUUCUGGUACUAUGCUAAAGGCUGGGUCUUUUCCAUGAUGUCCAACACACAUCAAUGGUCUGCCGGUGCCAAUGUUUAAUAUCAUUUGUGUGUAUGUCUGUUUUUGGUGUGUGUAAAUUUCUUGUCUUGAUCAAUGAGUGAGAUGAAACCUUGUUUAUUAUUCUGAUAAAGGCAGUUUGCAUUAAUUAACUUUUCUUACAUUUUGAAAUCAUGCACUCUAAAAUUAGCAAAACAAAGAGAGAAAAAGUUUAUUCCUAAUGCAGUCCAGUCACACCGAAUUUGAUGUGGGGAUAGAAGUGCCAAUUGCCUCCUAAAAUUAGGUGAUUAAUUUAAUCUAUAACUGUUUUUAUAUAAAUUUCAGAAUUGUUUCUCACCCCAAAAUAUACAUUUUCUGUCUUGUAACUAAGUGUAAGUACAGUGUAAAAUUUCCUUUUACCACUCUUCUCUUGCUUGCUUUCUUUCUUACCUCGUGGUUUAAGUUAUACAGUAUGUAAAUAGUAAUUUGUGGAUGCGUUUUUGUCAUGAUCUCCCAUAAUAUGCUGUUUGAUGACUCACUUCUUCUCUAGCUUUUUGUAGAUUCAGGUUGAAGCUUCAUGAUGAUUUCAUGAUGUUCAUUUGGUCUUUGAAAUCUUGAAGACAGUAUUUUCCAAGAACGAGCAGCGCGCAACCAGAACGCACUCCACUGAACACGCAAACUCACAGAAUGGAUAUGUGAAAAAAAAGUUACCUAAGCAACGGAAGCGUCAAUUACCCAGACAAGGGCUGUCUGUCCCCCAGGGCCACAGAGUAAGGAAUGAUUAGGCUUUGAGAUUGAGACCACAGCUUUUUUUCUGUCUGUGCCUCUGCCUCCCUCCCUCAAGUCUGUUCGUCCUUUCCUCGUGGCUUAUCAUACCUCCCCAAUAGAUCUAUAUUGAAUGUUUCUCUUUACCAUGUCCUUGUACUUGUUUAAACUGUAAUUCUUUCCAUUGCAAAGAGUGCUAGAAACUCACUGGUUCAUACACUGUAGUUGAUACCUGUCACCAUUUAUCAUAUCCAAAUUGUGCAUUAAAAUCUAAUACAAAUUGAGCCAUAAAAUUAUGUAUUUUCCAUCCAAUUAUUUCCUGAUAUGUACACUUUGCCCAUGCAAGGCAAACAUAAACAGAGGAGAAUAAAGAAUACAUUUCCUCA